rnacentral:rRNA from 1 species
UACGAAGGCAGCAGUGGGGAAUAUUGCACAAUGGGCGAAAGCCUGAUGCAGCUAUGCCGCGUGUAUGAAGAAGGCCUUAGGGUUGUAAAGUACUUUCAUCGGGGAGGAAAAAACAAAACUAAUAAUUUUAUUUCUUGACGUUACCCGAAAAAGAAGCACCGGCUAACUCCGUGCCAGCAGCCGCGGUAAUACGGAGGGUGCUAGCGUUAAUCAGAAUUACUGGGCGUAAAGAGCACGUAGGUGGUUUUUUUAAAGUCAGAUGUGAAAUCCCUGGGCUUAACCUGGAACUGCAUUUUGAAACUGAAAUACUAGAGUAUCGUAGAGGGAGGUAGAAUUCUAGGUGUAGCGGUGAAAUGCGUAGAUAUCUGGAGGAAUACCUGUGGCGAAAGCGGCCUCCUAAACGAAUACUGACACUGAGGGUGCGAAAGCGUGGGGAGCAAACAGGGAUUAGAUACC